rnacentral:rRNA from 1 species
AAUCAACGCUGGCGGCGUGCCUAACACAUGCAAGUCGAACGUGAAAGCCCCGCAAGGGGUAAGUAGAGUGGCGCACGGGUGAGUAACACGUGGAUAACCUGCCUUUGAGUGGGGAAUAACCUUCCGAAAGGAGGGCUAAUACCGCAUAAAACCUCCGGGCAAAAGUUUGGGGGGUCAAAGGAGCAAUUCGCUCGAAGAGGGGUCCGCGGCUGAUUAGCUAGUUGGUGGGGUAACGGCGCACCAAGGCAACGAUCAGUAGCCGUCCUGAGAGGGAGCACGGCCACACUGGAACUGAGACACGGUCCAGACUCCUACGGGAGGCAGCAGUGGGGAAUUUUUGGCAAUGGGCGAAAGCCUGACCAAGCAACGCCGCGUGGGUGAUGAAGUAUCUUGGUACGUAAAACCCUUUCGGCAGGGACGAACCUAAUGACGGUACCUGCGGAAGAAGCCCCGGCUAACUCCGUGCCAGCCGCCGCCGUAAUAC